rnacentral:rRNA from 1 species
UAGAGUUUGAUCCUGGCUCAAGAUGAACGCUGGCGGCGUGCCUAACACAUGCAAGUCGAACGAAGCACCUUACUUGAUUCUUCGGAUGAAGGUCUGGUGACUGAGUGGCGGACGGGUGAGUAACGCGUGGGUAACCUGCCCUGUACAGGGGGAUAACAGUUGGAAACGGCUGCUAAUACCGCAUAAGCGCACGAGAGGACAUCCUCUUGUGUGAAAAACUCCGGUGGUACAGGAUGGGCCCGCGUCUGAUUAGCUGGUUGGCAGGGUAACGGCCUACCAAGGCAACGAUCAGUAGCCGGUCUGAGAGGAUGAACGGCCACAUUUGGAACUGAGACACGGUCCAAACUCCUACGGGAGGCAGCAGUGGGGAAUAUUGCACAAUGGGGGAAACCCUGAUGCAGCAACGCCGCGUGAGUGAAGAAGUAUUUCGGUAUGUAAAGCUCUAUCAGCAGGGAAGAUAAUGACGGUACCUGACUAAGAAGCUCCGGCUAAAUACGUGCCAGCAGCCGCGGUAAUACGUAUGGAGCAAGCGUUAUCCGGAUUUACUGGGUGUAAAGGGUGCGUAGGUGGCAGUGCAAGUCAGAUGUGAAAGGCCGGGGCUCAACCCCGGAGCUGCAUUUGAAACUGCUCGGCUAGAGUACAGGAGAGGCAGGCGGAAUUCCUAGUGUAGCGGUGAAAUGCGUAGAUAUUGGGAGGAACACCAGUGGCGAAGGCGGCCUGCUGGACUGUUACUGACACUGAGGCACGAAAGCGUGGGGAGCAAACAGGAUUAGAUACCCUGGUAGUCCACGCCGUAAAC